UAAGUGUAAAAAAAGAAAAAUAAUAAAGACAACGAGUUAAUAGGCCUUGCACCAGCUAUUUAAUAAAGAGUUCGUAACAGUUCACUCGAUAAAUUAUUUUUUUUUUAAAAAUUUUGGUGGCUUAAAAAAAAAAAGGAGGAAUCCUGAGGACUUCUCCGCAGUUUAAAAAAGGGGGAUCCGGAACCCUAAGGGUUCCGGAUCCCCGAAAAAUUCCGAAACUAUGAAAAGAAAAACCCGAGACGGGGGCCAUAGGCGCUUCCCGCCUAUGGCCCCCCUCCGUUUUUGGGUUUUUGAAUUGGUAGCAGAACGUAUAGUAAAAAAAAAAUUCGAAAAGAAAAAUCUAUAGUGAUAAUGCGAACAUGAGUAACGAGGGAUCCGAAGGAUCCGGGCCUAAGGUUUCCAAGGGGCCAAAAAGAGGCCCCGGGUGAACCAGUCCCUAAUAACUAAAUGAAAGGGGAGCCCACGGGGCUCCCCCUUUUUUAUUUUUAGCGAAGGGGUUUAAAUCUAAAAUACUGAUUAAUAGCCCAGGAAAUAAUUAGAAAUUAUUUGACUGUACUAAAAUCUAACAAAAGUGGGCAAAAAAAAAAGGAGAAUUAUUAUUAAGGAACUCGGCAAGUUACACGUGUAAGAUUUCGAGAAACGUGAAAAACCCUUUAUGAGAAGGAAACUUCCUCAAGAGUUUAUCUAAGAUAAAAGGGAGCCUCGCCUGUUUACCAAAAACAUAGUUUUCAGCUAUUAACGCAAAAGCUUCGUAUUGAAAAUGAUGCCUGCCCAAUGAUUGUAUCUGAAAGGAAAGGAGGGAGGGGGGAGGCCAUCGGGAUCCAAAGGAUCCCCAUGGCCUCCCCCCGUGCUUAGCUUUUUAUAAGGACAAUUGAAUGGCCGCGGUAACUCUGACCGUGAUAAUGUAGCGAAAUCACUAGCCAGUUAAUUGCUGGCCUGUAUGAAUGGCUAAACGAGGGCUCCACUGUCUCAAUAAUAAACCUAGUGAAAUUGAGACGGCGGCGAAGACGCCGCCUAUGAAUUCUAAGACGAGAAGACCCCAUUGAGCUUUACUAUUAACUUGUAUUGCCAGAGCAAUGGGGGGGGCGCCAACGGAGCCCCGGGGAUUUCCCGGAUCCGUUUGGCCCCCUGUCCCUUGCUUCAUAAUAAAAUUGUGGAGACUAAGUGGAAAAAGAUAAAACAAGGGAUUUAAAAGAGCGGGGGCGAGAGCCCAUAGGGUCCUCGCCCCCGUCCCGAUUUAUAUGAAAAACCACUCUUUUUAUUAAGAUUACUGUCUAAAACCGUACAAGUAAGAUAGUUUGGUUGGGGCGACCGCCUUCGAAAAAGUAUCGAAGGCGCACAUAAGAUUAGUCCGGAGGGGGGUCCAAAGGAUCCCCCUCCCGGGGGCAAUGCCCCAAAAAAAGAUUAGUUUGACUGAGAGGGCUACAACCCGAACAGACGCCAGGAGAUAGGACCCAGGGGGCCCAGGGGUGAUCCACCCUAAGGGCUCCCCCUGGGCCCCGCCUUUUGGCGGGUCAUAGUGAUCCGUUGUUAUAUUGUGGGAUUGACAACGAUCAACGAAGAAAAGUUACCAUGGGGAUAACAGCGUAAUAUCGUUUAAGAGUACCUAUCGCUGACGAUGUUUGCGACCUCGAUGUUGAAUUGUGAUAUCCUGGAGGUGCAGCAGCUUCCAAGGGUUGGACUGUUCGUCCAUUAAAAUCAUACAUGAUUUGAGUUCAGACCGGCGUGAGCCAGGUCGGUUUCUAUCUAGAAUUCAAAAAUAAACAAAGACCAGUUUACCUUCUAGUACGAAAGGAUCGAAGGGUUUAUAUCCUCUGGUGAUUCAAUCCGAACACGAGAUCUUCGAAGGUCUUCAGGGGGAUCGUUUGGUUCCCGUUGUUGAGUAGCUACGAUAUAAAGAAUAAUUGCUGAAUGCAACUCAAGCAAGAAAUCUUUGGUCCGAAAAUUUUUAGUUGCGGGAGGAGCGCCUAGGGUUCGGAACCCCGGCGCCCCCCUCCUGGCUUUAAAAUUUGUUUAAAAACAAUUGGGGUAGAUCACCCCGAUU
rnacentral:rRNA from 1 species